GACGUAGGGCGCGAGCGUUGUCCGGAUUUAUUGGGCGUAAAGAGCUCGUAGGCGGCUUGUCGCGUCGACUGUGAAAACCCGGGGCUCAACCCCGGGCCUGCAGUCGAUACGGGCAGACUAGAGUGCGGUAGGGGAGACUGGAAUUCCUGGUGUAGCGGUGAAAUGCGCAGAUAUCAGGAGGAACACCGGUGGCGAAGGCGGGUCUCUGGGCCGUAACUGACGCUGAGGAGCGAAAGCGUGGGGAGCGAACAGG
rnacentral:rRNA from 1 species